CUUUAAUAACGGAGAACAUUAUGGAUUGGCUUUUGGAUCUCUAGAUAGUAAUGGAGCGCAUGUUUUCCACCAAACAGAAAGCGGAUGCCAAACCAUGUAUAUCCUCCCUGACACAAACAUACAGCUGCGCGUUGAUAAUUUUCAAGAUCCUCAGCAUGUGUUGACAAAAAAAGAACAAGAGGAUAUACAAGAAAGACUUAAUCAAUGCCAUAAAAUAAAUAACGAUGCGCCUAGCAACAAAUGUUGUGGAAAAUUUAACCAUAUAGACAACAACUGUGAACACACUGCCACCUAUAUCCGUUAUGGAAUGCAUGGAAGAGUGUCCUGUUUGGCCUGGUGGCGGUCUGAUGUCAAAAAUACGGUCUAUUACAUUGGGGAAUAUCGUGGUUACCGUCCUAUGCAGUGUACAUGCUGGACACCACC